CCUACGGGAGGCUGCAGUGAGGAAUAUUGGUCAAUGGGCGAGAGCCUGAACCAGCCAAGUCGCGUGAGGGAGUACUGCCCUAUGGGUUGUAAACCUCUUUUGUCGGGGAGCAAAAGCCGGACGUGUCCGGCUGUGAGAGUACCCGAAGAAAAAGCAUCGGCUAACUCCGUGCCAGCAGCCGCGGUAAUACGGAGGAUGCGAGCGUUAUCCGGAUUUAUUGGGUUUAAAGGGGGCGCAGGCGGAUUUUUAAGUCAGCGGUAAAAUCGUGGGGCUCAACCCCAUCCAGCCGUUGAAACUGGGGAUCUAGAGUGUGCGAGAGGGAUGCGGAAUGCGUGGUGUAGCGGUGAAAUGCAUAGAUAUCACGCAGAACCCCGAUUGCGAAGGCAGCAUACCGGUGCACAACUGACGCUCAGGCACGAAAGCGUGGGUAUCGAACAGGAUUAGAUACCCUUGUAGUC
rnacentral:rRNA from 1 species